UAACGCGUGAGGAACCUGCCUCAAAGAGGGGGACAACAGUUGGAAACGACUGCUAAUACCGCAUAAGCCCACGGCUCGGCAUCGAGCAGAGGGAGAAGGAGCAAUCCGCUUUGAGAUGGCCUCGCGUCCGAUUAGCUAGUUGGUGAGGUAAUGGCCCACCAAGGCGACGAUCGGUAGCCGGACUGAGAGGUUGAACGGCCACAUUGGGACUGAGACACGGCCCAG
rnacentral:rRNA from 1 species